rnacentral:rRNA from 1 species
GACGAACGCUGGCGGCGUGCUUAACACAUGCAAGUCGAGCGGAAAGGCCACUUCGGUGGUACUCGAGCGGCGAACGGGUGAGUAACACGUGAGUAAUCUGCCCCUGGCUUUGGGAUAGCCACCGGAAACGGUGAGUAAUACCGGAUAUGACCACUUCACGCAUGUGAUGGUGGUGGAAAGUUUUUCGGCCAGGGAUGUGCUCGCGGCCUAUCAGCUUGGUGGUGAGGCAAUGGCUCACCAUGGCUUCGACGGGUAGCCGGCCUGAGAGGGUGACCGGUCACACUGGGACUGAGACACGGCCCAGACUCCGACUGGAGGCAGCAGUGGGGAAUAUUGGACAAUGGGCGGAAGCCUGAUCCAGCAACGCCGCGUGAGGGAUGACGGCCUUCGGGUUGUAAACCUCUUUCGCCUGUGACGAAGCGCAAGUGACGGUAACAGGUAAAGAAGCACCGGCCAACUACGUGCCAGCCGCCGCAGUAACAC